UACGAAGGGGGCUAGCGUUGUUCGGAAUUACUGGGCGUAAAGCGCACGUAGGCGGAUCGGUCAGUUAGGGGUGAAAUCCCGGGGCUCAACCCCGGAACUGCCUCUAAUACUGCCGAUCUCGAGUUCGAGAGAGGUGAGUGGAAUUCCGAGUGUAGAGGUGAAAUUCGUAGAUAUUCGGAGGAACACCAGUGGCGAAGGCGGCUCACUGGCUCGAUACUGACGCUGAGGUGCGAAAGCGUGGGGAGCAAACAGG
rnacentral:rRNA from 1 species